CCCUUAGAUGUUCUGGGCUGCACACGUGCUACACUGGCAGGUUCAGCGAGCUUCAUGCCCUGAUCUGAAAGGAAUGGGAAAUCUUUUCAAAACCUGCCGUGCUUGGGAUAGAUGUUUGCAAUUAUUCAUCUUCAACGAGGAAUGCCUAGUAAACGCAAGUCAUCAGCUUGCAUUGAUUACGUCCCUGCCCUUUGUACACACCGCCCGUCGCUCCUACCGAUUGAAUGAUCCGAUGAAUACCAUGGAUUGAGAGUACGAAUAGGUUCGCUUAUUUCUGCUUCUCGAGAAGUGGAGUAAAUCUUAUCAUUUAGAGGAAGGAGAAGUCGUAACA
rnacentral:rRNA from 1 species